UCGCUUUUUUAGCUUUAAGCGACAAAGCGCUCCUCCAGGAGCGCUUUCUCAAUCGCUUUUUCUGGUCGGGUUGUCGGGUCGGUUUGGGUUAUUGGGUUGGGGCAACCCAUUACCCAUGUGAAAUAACUUAAACUAUUUUUAUUUCCCUUCCUACCCCUCCAAUUUCUAUCUAACUAUAUAAACCCAAUACCCUUCUAAUAAAACCCUAAUUUCCUUUAUCACUCUCACUUUUAUUUCUUCCAAAACCCUAGAGCCGCCGGCAGACCUCGCCGGAGCAGUACCUGACCUCGCCGGAGUCGCCGCCUGACCUAGUUUUUCUCCUCCGAUCUUCACGUCUACUAGUGGUAUGAAUGUCCUCAACUUUUCCAUCAAUUUCUUUACUUGUAGACCGUCUGAAAAGGGAUUAAAAGAUGGCCGGAAUCCGGGCUGUUUUGGGCGGAUUCCGGCCAUCCUCGAAUUUUUAUUUUUAUUUUUAAUCUCAUGCCCUGUAGGAACAUGUAGUUGGAUUUCAUACCAUUUUUAAAUAGGUAUGCCGGAUUCCGGUCAAAACAGGCCGGAAUCCGGCCAACCAAUUUUUUUUUAAAUUUUUUUUUUGACAGGCCGACGAUGU
rnacentral:lncRNA from 1 species